rnacentral:rRNA from 1 species
AUUGAACGCUGGCGGCAUGCUUUACACAUGCAAGUCGAACGGUAACAGGCCGCAAGGUGCUGACGAGUGGCGAACGGGUGAGUAAUGCAUCGGAACGUGCCCAGUCGUGGGGGAUAACUUCUCGAAAGAGUAGCUAAUACCGCAUACGAUCUAUGGAUGAAAGCGGGGGACCGUAAGGCCUCGCGCGAUUGGAGCGGCCGAUGUCAGCUUAGUUAGUUGGUGGGGUAAAGGUACACCAAGCCAACGAUCUGUAGCUGGUCUGAGAGAACGACCAGCCACACUGGAGCUGAGACACGGCCCAGGCUCCUACGGGAGGCAGCAGUGGGGAAUUUUGGACAGUGGGCGCAAGCCUGAUCCAGCAAUGCCGCGUGCAGGAAGAAGGCCUUCGGGUUGUAAACUGCUUUUGUACGGAACGAAACGGCUCUGGUUAAUACCCGGGGCUAAUGACGGUACCGUAAGAAGAAGCACCGGCUAACUACGUG